GGGGCUAUAGCUCAGUGGUAGAGCGCACGCCUGAUAAGCGUGAGGUCGAAGGUCCGAUUCCUUCUAGCCCCA
rnacentral:tRNA from 1 species